rnacentral:rRNA from 1 species
AUUGAACGCUGGCGGCAGGCCUAACACAUGCAAGUCGAACGAGUGGCGGACGGGUGAGUAAUGUAUGGGAAUCUGCCCGAUGGAGGGGGAUAACUACUGGAAACGGUCGCUAAUACCGCAUACUAUCCGAUGAGCCCAGAUGGGAUUAGCUAGUUGGUGGGGUAACGGCUCACCAAGGCGACGAUCCCUAGCUGGUCUGAGAGGAUGACCAGCCACACGGGAACUUAGACACGGCCCAGAAUCCUACGGGAGGCAGCAGUGGGGAAGAUUGCACAAUGGGCGCAAGCCUGAUGCAGCCAUGCCGCGUGUAUGAAGAAGGCCUUCGGGUUGUAAAGUACUUUCAGCGGGGAGGCGUUACCCGCAGAAGAAGCACCGGCUAACUCCGUGCCAGCAGCCGCGGUAAUUC